rnacentral:antisense_RNA from 1 species
CUUGAUCGAGCCCAGCCACAACGGCCGCUCGGCCGGGCGGUCCUGACCGUACGUCGCGAGCAGCGCCUGCGCCUC